rnacentral:rRNA from 1 species
CGGGGCUUAAAGUCUUGUAAUUGGAAUGAUGGGAAUUUAAACCUCUUCCAGAGUAUCAAUUGGAGGGCAAGUCUGGUGCCAGCAGCCGCGGUAAUUCCAGCUCCAAUAGCGUAUAUUAAAAUUGUUGCAGUUAAAAAGCUCGUAGUUGAAUUUCUGCUGCAUUGCUUGUUUCCCUCUGGGGUCUGUGCAUGUGGCUUUUUUCGGACGGAGUUUCUUUGUCUGAAUGUUUACUUUGAGAAAAUUAGAGUGCUCAAAGCAGGCUUUCGCCUUGAAUAGUUUAGCAUGGAAUAAUAAAGUAGGACUUUGGUUCUAUUUUGUUGGUUUUAGGUACCAAAGUAAUGGUUAAUAGGAACAGUUGGGGGCAUUCGUAUUUAACUGUCAGAGGUGAAAUUCUUAGAUUUGUUAAAGACGAACUACUGCGAAAGCAUUUGCCAAGGAUGUUUUCAUUAAUCAAGAAC